rnacentral:rRNA from 1 species
GACGAACGCUGGCGGCGUGCCUAAUACAUGCAAGUCGAACGAACCGCGACUAGGUGCUUGCACUUGGUCAAGGUGAGUGGCGAACGGGUGAGUAACACGUGGGUAACCUACCUCAUAGUGGGGGAUAACAGUCGGAGACGACUGCUAAUACCGCAUAGGACAUAGGAUCACAUGAUUCUGUGAGGAAAGGUGGCGCAAGCUAUCGCUAAGAGAUGGACCCGCGGUGCAUUAGCUAGUUGGUAGGGUAAAGGCCUACCAAGGCGAUGAUGCAUAGCCGACCUGAGAGGGUGAUCGGCCACAUUGGGACUGAGACACGGCCCAAACUCCUACGGGAGGCAGCAGUAGGGAAUCUUCCGCAAUGGACGCAAGUCUGACGGAGCAACGCCGCGUGAGUGAAGAAGGUCUUCGGAUCGUAAAGCUCUGUUGUUAGAGAAGAACAGCGCAUAGAGUAACUGUUAUGCGUGUGACGGUAUCUAACCAGAAAGCCACGGCUAACUACGUG